rnacentral:lncRNA from 1 species
AAGAAUUAAAGAAAUCUAGUAAGUAUUAGAGAAUCAGAAAGAUUCCAAGUCCACAAGUUUCUUGUAUGUCCUUAAGGAAUUUUAACCCCCUCACAUGUUGCCAAGGUAAUGGAUUAAAUCUUCCCAGGAUAAAACAGAAUAAACCUUCCUACAACAGUGGCAAUACAAGCUGCAGGAUACCAACGAACUCAAAGAACGGAGCAAAAUCACACGUACGAAUCUGAGAGAGAGAGACUGCGAAUUAGGAUGCAGUAUAUUCAGAGAGAAAGAAGUUCUGGA